GAUGAACGCUGGCGGCGUGCCUAAUACAUGCAAGUCGAGCGAACAGACGAGGAGCUUGCUCCUCUGACGUUAGCGGCGGACGGGUGAGUAACACGUGGAUAACCUACCUAUAAGACUGGGAUAACUUCGGGAAACCGGAGCUAAUACCGGAUAAUAUAUUGAACCGCAUGGUUCAAUAGUGAAAGACGGUUUUGCUGUCACUUAUAGAUGGAUCCGCGCCGCAUUAGCUAGUUGGUAAGGUAACGGCUUACCAAGGCAACGAUGCGUAGCCGACCUGAGAGGGGGAUCGGCCACACUGGAACUGAGACGCGGUCCAGACUCCUACGGGAGGCAGCAGUAGGGAAGCUUCCGCAAUGGGCGAAAGCUUGACGGAGCAACGCCGCGUGAGUGAUGAAGGUCUUCGGAUCGUAAAACGCUGUUAUUAGGGAAGAACAAAUGUGUAAGUAACUAUGCACGUCUGGACGGUACCUAAUCAGAAAGCCACGGCUAACUACGU
rnacentral:rRNA from 1 species